rnacentral:rRNA from 1 species
UACAGAGACUGCAAGCGUUAUUCGGAUUCACUGGGCGUAAAGGGUGCGCAGGCGGCCGAGUGUGUGAGGCGUGAAAGCCCGGGGCUUAACCCCGGAAUUGCACCUCAAACUACACGGCUAGAGCAUUGGAGAGGGUAGCAGAAUUCAUGGUGUAGCAGUGAAAUGCGUAGAUAUCAUGAGGAAUACCAGAGGCGAAGGCGGGUUGCUGGGCUGACACUGACGCUGACAGCGCGAAAGCUAGGGGAGCGAACGGG